rnacentral:rRNA from 1 species
ACUAAGCGUACACGGUGGAUGCCCUGGCAGUCAGAGGCGAUGAAGGACGUGCUAAUCUGCGAUAAGCGUCGGUAAGGUGAUAUGAACCGUUAUAACCGGCGAUUUCCGAAUGGGGAAACCCAGUGUGUUUCGACACACUAUCAUUAACUGAAUCCAUAGGUUAAUGAGGCGAACCGGGGGAACUGAAACAUCUAAGUACCCCGAGGAAAAGAAAUCAACCGAGAUUCCCCCAGUAGCGGCGAGCGAACGGGGAGCAGCCCAGAGCCUGAAUCAGUGUGUGUGUUAGUGGAAGUGUCUGGAAAGGCGCGCGAUACAGGGUGACAGCCCCGUACACAAAAAUGCACAUGCUGUGAGCUCGAUGAGUAGGGCGGGACACGUGGUAUCCUGUCUGAAUAUGGGGGGACCAUCCUCCAAGGCUAAAUACUCCUGACUGACCGAUAGUGAACCAGUACCGUGAGGGAAAGGCGAAAAGAACCCCGGCGAGGGGAGUGAAAAAGAACCUGAAACCGUGUACGUACAAGCAGUGGGAGCCCUGAUUUAUCAGGGUGACUGCGUACCUUUUGUAUAAUGGGUCAGCGACUUAUAUUCUGUAGCAAGGUUAACCGAAUAGGGGAGCCGGAGGGAAACCGAGUCUUAACUGGGCGUUAAGUUGCAGGGUAUAGACCCGAAACCCGGUGAUCUAGCCAUGGGCAGGUUGAAGGUUGGGUAACACUAACUGGAGGACCGAACCGACUAAUGUUGAAAAAUUAGCGGAUGACUUGUGGCUGGGGGUGAAAGGCCAAUCAAACCGGGAGAUAGCUGGUUCUCCCCGAAAGCUAUUUAGGUAGCGCCUCGUGAAUUCAUCUCCGGGGGUAGAGCACUGUUUCGGCAAGGGGGUCAUCCCGACUUACCAACCCGAUGCAAACUGCGAAUACCGGAGAAUGUUAUCACGGGAGACACACGGCGGGUGCUAACGUCCGUCGUGAAGAGGGAAACAACCCAGACCGCCAGCUAAGGUCCCAAAGUCAUGGUUAAGUGGGAAACGAUGUGGGAAGGCCCAGACAGCCAGGAUGUUGGCUUAGAAGCAGCCAUCAUUUAAAGAAAGCGUAAUAGCUCACUGGUCGAGUCGGCCUGCGCGGAAGAUGUAACGGGGCUAAACCAUGCACCGAAGCUGCGGCAGCGACACUGUGUGUUGUUGGGUAGGGGAGCGUUCUGUAAGCCUGUGAAGGUGUGCUGUGAGGCAUGCUGGAGGUAUCAGAAGUGCGAAUGCUGACAUAAGUAACGAUAAAGCGGGUGAAAAGCCCGCUCGCCGGAAGACCAAGGGUUCCUGUCCAACGUUAAUCGGGGCAGGGUGAGUCGACCCCUAAGGCGAGGCCGAAAGGCGUAGUCGAUGGGAAACAGGUUAAUAUUCCUGUACUUGGUGUUACUGCGAAGGGGGACGGAGAAGGCUAUGUUGGCCGGGCGACGGUUGUCCCGGUUUAAGCGUGUAGGCUGGUUUUCCAGGCAAAUCCGGAGAAUCAAGGCUGAGGCGUGAUGACGAGGCACUACGGUGCUGAAGCAACAAAUGCCCUGCUUCCAGGAAAAGCCUCUAAGCAUCAGGUAACAUUAAAUCGUACCCCAAACCGACACAGGUGGUCAGGUAGAGAAUACCAAGGCGCUUGAGAGAACUCGGGUGAAGGAACUAGGCAAAAUGGUGCCGUAACUUCGGGAGAAGGCACGCUGAUAUGUAGGUGAAGCGACUUGCUCGUGGAGCUGAAAUCAGUCGAAGAUACCAGCUGGCUGCAACUGUUUAUUAAAAACACAGCACUGUGCAAACACGAAAGUGGACGUAUACGGUGUGACGCCUGCCCGGUGCCGGAAGGUUAAUUGAUGGGGUCAGCGCAAGCGAAGCUCUUGAUCGAAGCCCCGGUAAACGGCGGCCGUAACUAUAACGGUCCUAAGGUAGCGAAAUUCCUUGUCGGGUAAGUUCCGACCUGCACGAAUGGCGUAAUGAUGGCCAGGCUGUCUCCACCCGAGACUCAGUGAAAUUGAACUCGCUGUGAAGAUGCAGUGUACCCGCGGCAAGACGGAAAGACCCCGUGAACCUUUACUAUAGCUUGACACUGAACAUUGAGCCUUGAUGUGUAGGAUAGGUGGGAGGCUUUGAAGUGUGGACGCCAGUCUGCAUGGAGCCGACCUUGAAAUACCACCCUUUAAUGUUUGAUGUUCUAACGUGGACCCGUGAUCCGGGUUGCGGACAGUGUCUGGUGGGUAGUUUGACUGGGGCGGUCUCCUCCUAAAGAGUAACGGAGGAGCACGAAGGUUGGCUAAUCCUGGUCGGACAUCAGGAGGUUAGUGCAAUGGCAUAAGCCAGCUUGACUGCGAGCGUGACGGCGCGAGCAGGUGCGAAAGCAGGUCAUAGUGAUCCGGUGGUUCUGAAUGGAAGGGCCAUCGCUCAACGGAUAAAAGGUACUCCGGGGAUAACAGGCUGAUACCGCCCAAGAGUUCAUAUCGACGGCGGUGUUUGGCACCUCGAUGUCGGCUCAUCACAUCCUGGGGCUGAAGUAGGUCCCAAGGGUAUGGCUGUUCGCCAUUUAAAGUGGUACGCGAGCUGGGUUUAGAACGUCGUGAGACAGUUCGGUCCCUAUCUGCCGUGGGCGCUGGAGAACUGAGGGGGGCUGCUCCUAGUACGAGAGGACCGGAGUGGACGCAUCACUGGUGUUCGGGUUGUCAUGCCAAUGGCACUGCCCGGUAGCUAAAUGCGGAAGAGAUAAGUGCUGAAAGCAUCUAAGCACGAAACUUGCCCCGAGAUGAGUUCUCCCUGAGACCUAGAGUCUCCUGAAGGAACGUUGAAGACGACGACGUUGAUAGGCCGGGUGUGUAAGCGCAGCGAUGCGUUGAGCUAACCGGUACUAAUGAACCGUGAGGCUUAACC